AGAGUUUGAUCAUGGCUCAGAAUCAACGCUGGCGGCGCGCCUAACACAUGCAAGUCGAACGAGAAAGCCGCAAGGCAAGUAAAGUGGCGUACGGGUGAGUAACACGUGGAUCAUCUACCUUCUAGUGGGGAAUACCUCUGGGAAACCGGAGACAAUACCGCAUAAGCUCGAGAGAGGAAAGCAGCAAUGCGCUGGAAGAGGAGUCCGCGGUCGAUUAGUUAGUUGGCAGGGUAAAGGCCUACCAAGACUGUGAUCGAUAGCCGGCCUGAGAGGGCACACGGCCACACUGGCACUGAAACACGGGCCAGACUCCUACGGGAGGCAGCAGUGGGGAAUCUUGCACAAUGGAGGAAACUCUGAUGCAGCGACGCCGCGUGAGCGAUGAAGCCCUUCGGGGUGUAAAGCUCUUUCGGCAGGGAAGAUUAUGACGGUACCUGCAGAAGCAGCUGCGGCUAACUACGUGCCAGCAGCCGCGGUAAUACGUAGGCAGCAAGCGUUGUUCGGAGUUACUGGGCGUAAAGGGUGCGUAGGCGGCUUUUUAAGUUUGGUGUGAAAUCUCCCGGCUCAACCGGGAGGGUGCGCCGAAUACUGAGAGGCUAGAGUGUGGGAGAGGAAAGUGGAAUUCCUGGUGUAGCGGUGAAAUGCGUAGAUAUCAGGAGGAACACCGGUGGUGUAAACGGCUUUCUGGACCAUAACUGACGCUGAUGCACGAAAGCGUGGGUAGCAAACAGGAUUAGAUACCCUAGUAGUCC
rnacentral:rRNA from 1 species